CUUUUCCAUUCCAGUCGACAAGAUUGAAUUGGAGCAUGCAAAGAAUGCAACCGUUUCACUUGUUUUGAUGAAUCUCGAGUCUCGGGUGGUCGUGAAUGAGGACAUUGGUCGGCAAAUUCUCACC